AAGGAAGUUUCAAUCGGAGUUGUUGCAGUUUUUGAUGGUCAUAAUUUUGCUCUACAUACAUAUUUCCUUUGUAUUGAAGACGCAGUUAAGUAGGCUGCCAAAUGUAGGAGAAGGAUAUAUUGUUUCCAAGUGCUUAAUUGGGACAAAGAGAUCGGAAAGCAUGGCUUGAACUUUGAAAGAUUUAAGUUCAGUCCCAGAUAAUCUUGAUGAUUCUUUUCACUUGGGUAUAUUGAAGGAAGCUUUGUAAUGGAAUUUAUAAGUGUUUUUUUUCUGAAUUCUCCUAAUAGUAUUUAUAAGCGCAACAAUGGCAGUUUAAUGGAAAAGUACCUAUUCCAGUUGGGACAGGAUCAAUCGCUACCAUGGGCAGUGGUAGACGAUAUUAACGAAAUAUUGUUCUCUUUUCAGAAAAGAUGAGGUCAUACACGGUCAGAAAGGCAAAUGAAGAAUUUUCGUAAUGUGUUGGAGGAAUGUGAAUUGACCAUUUGGGGUUUAAUGGCAGAUGGUGUACUUAUGAGAGAGGUAGGCUAGCCUCGAAUAAUAUUAGGGAGCGUCUAGACCAAAAAAGACAAGUUUGAUAUAUAUUAACGGAUAAAUUAUCUGUGGUUAUAGACUUAAUUGUAGUAUAAGGCUUUGUUUGGGGCGGCAGUGUAGUGUGAUUAGCUUACUUUUUAUCUCACGUUACAGUAUCAAUGUAAUUCCCUAAAUGCCCUCCUUGGAAAAUAAAAGGAAAUUUUUUUUUAA